rnacentral:rRNA from 1 species
UUCCGGUUGAUCCCGCCGGACCUGACUGCUAUCGGAUUGAUACUAAGCCAUGCGAGUCUUUGCAGUAAUGCAAGGCAUACGGCUCAGUAACACGUAGUCAACUUACCCUAUGGACGAGGAUAAUCUCGGGAAACUGAGCAUAAUACUCGAUAGAUCAUAAUGCCUGGAAUGGUUUGUGGUUAAAAUGAUUCGUCGCCAUAGGAUGGGACUGCGGCCUAUCAGCUUGUUGGUGAGGUAAUGGCCCACCAAGGCGAUUACAGGUACGGGCUCUGAGAGGAGAAGCCCGGAGAUGGGUACUGAGACAAGGACCCAGGCCCUAUGGGGCGCAGCAGGCGAGAAAACUUUGCAAUGUGCGAAAGCACGACAAGGUUAAUCCGAGUGAUUUCUGCUAAAGAAAUCUUUUGCAAGUCAUAAAACCACUAGUGAAUAAGGGGUGGGCAAGUUCUGGUGUCAGCCGCCGCGGUAAAACCAGCACCUCAAGUGGUCAGGAGGAUUAUUGGGCCUAAAGCAUCCGUAGCCGGCUCUGUAAGUUUUCGGUUAAAUCCAUGUGCUCAACGCAUGGGCUGCCGAAAAUACUGCAUAGCUAGGGAGUGGGAGAGGUAGACGGUACUCGGUAGGAAGGGGUAAAAUCCUUUGAUCUAUCGAUGACCACCUGUGGCGAAGGCGGUCUACCAGAACACGUUCGACGGUGAGGGAUGAAAGCUGGGGGAGCAAACCGGAUUAGAUACCCGGGUAGUCCCAGCUGUAAACGAUGCAGACUCGAUGAUGCAUUGGCAUAUAGCCAGUGCAGUGUCGCAGGGAAGCCGUUAAGUCUGCCGCCUGGGAAGUACGUACGCAAGUAUGAAACUUAAAGGAAUUGGCGGGGGAGCACCACAAGGGGUGAAGCCUGCGGUUCAAUUGGAGUCAACGCCGGG